rnacentral:rRNA from 1 species
UACGAAGGGGGCUAGCGGUGCGCGGAAUGACUGGGCGGAAAGGGCGCGUUGGCGGUUUUGACAGUCAGACGUGAAAUUCCUUGGCUCAACCUGGGGGCUGCGUUUGAUACGUCGGGACUGGAGUGCGGAAGAGGGUCGUGGAAUUCCCAGUGUAGAGGUGAAAUUCGUAGAUAUUGGGAAGAACACCGGUGGCGAAGGCGGCGACCCGGUCCGUGACUGACGCUGAGGCGCGAAAGCGUGGGGAGCAAACAGG